UGCAAAGGAUGAGCUACUUGUCACCUGACAACCAUUCUCCUGGAGGUAAAACUGAUUUAAUGAGCCUGAUGC